rnacentral:lncRNA from 1 species
UCUCACUUUGCCGUUCUUACCACACGCGCCGAUCUAUUCAACGACCGUAGGCUCACGCCUGUGGAGUUAUCAUAUCGUCCGACACUUCGGUGGUAGCAGUCCUCACAAAUAUAAAGAAUGUUUGAUGAAUGUUUUUUUACUAUAGUAACAUUCUAGUGGUGAUGUUUGGAGGAGAAGUAUGAUGGUAUGAAAGUGCUUAAUGUUUAAUAUGGAAUUGUUAACUGUGGUUCCCAGAAGCAAUCUUGAACACUUAUACCAGUAUUUUAAACAGCUUUGUUGUGUUUGGCAAUAUUAUGGAAUCAAAUUCUACAUAUUUCAGCAUGAUAUGAAUAUUGUUUAUAUAGUUAAUAUUGUAAAUAGUUUGACGGAGACAAAAAUUCCAAAAUUGGAAAAGUUAUUCCCAAAGGCUUAAUCACAAUAUUUUAAUGUUAGAGUCCAAAUGCAACCUGAAUCAAUAGUUGCCGGAGAUAACUAAGUCCUUGUUUCAUUCAGGUCAUAAUUUAAUGUUAUAACAAUUGAAUUUCAUAAUUUCUAUGCCAUUUGGCACUUUUUUGUAUACUUCUAAUUAUAAAAUAACUGUUACUCAAUCUAAGUGAAUUUUCAAAAUAUAAUAAAUGUUUUCUAAAG